rnacentral:rRNA from 1 species
GACGAACGCUGGCGCCGUGCUUAACACAUGCAAGUCGAGCGAGAAACUUCGGUUUCUAGCGGCGGACGGGUGAGUAACACGUGGGCAACCUGCCUCACAAUGGGGGAUAGCCUUCCGAAAGGAAGAUUAAUACCGCAUAACACAAAGGAAACGCAUGUUUCUUUUGCCAAAGAAUUUCGUUGUGAGAUGGGCCCGCGGCGCAUUAGCUUGUUGGUGAGGUAACGGCUCACCAAGGCGACGAUGCGUAGCCGACCUGAGAGGGUGAUCGGCCACAUUGGAACUGAUGCACGGUCCAGAGUCCUACGGGAGGCAGCAGUGGGGAAUAUUGCACAAUGGAGGAAACUCUGAUGCAGCAACGCCGCGUGAGUGAUGAAGGUCUUCGGAUUGUAAAGCUCUGUCUUCUGGGACGAUAAUGACGGUACCAGAGGAGGAAGCCACGGCUAACUACGUGCCAGCCGCCGCAGUAA